GGUUAGAUGGUGUAGUGGUAACACCUCCCAGUGCAUAUGGGAUGACCUGGGUUCAAUCCCUGGUCUGACCA
rfam:Trametes cinnabarina, BRFM137, WGS project CCBP01000000 data, contig: scf184790